UACGUAGGGGGCUAGCGUUGUCCGGAUUUAUUGGGCGUAAAGAGCGUGUAGGCGGCCAGGUAGGUCUGCUGUGAAAACUCGAGGCUCAACCUCGAGACGUCGGCGGAAACCAUCUGGCUAGAGUCCGGAAGAGGAGAGUGGAAUUCCUGGUGUAGCGGUGAAAUGCGCAGAUAUCAGGAAGAACACCCGUGGCGAAGGCGGGUCU
rnacentral:rRNA from 1 species